UGUUUCGGCUAGGGGGCCAUCCCGGCUUACCAACCCGAUGCAAACUGCGAAUACCGGAGAAUGUUAUCACGGGAGACACACGGCGGGUGCUAACGUCCGUCGUGAAGAGGGAAACAACCCAGACCGCCAGCUAAGGUCCCAAAGUCAUGGUUAAGUGGGAAACGAUGUGGGAAGGCCCAGACAGCCAGGAUGUUGGCUUAGAAGCAGCCAUCAUUUAAAGAAAGCGUAAUAGCUCACUGGUCGAGUCGGCCUGCGCGGAAGAUGUAACGGGGCUAAACCAUGCACCGAAGCUGCGGCAGCGACACUCAGGUGUUGUUGGGUAGGGGAGCGUUCUGUAAGCCUG
rnacentral:rRNA from 4 species